CAUCAGCUUCCGUUGAAGUUGCAGCUAAAAUGCAAUAAUCUACAAGCCAAAGUCCAUGAACCUGAGAAUCGUGUCUUGCUGGAAAAGGUUUUCUACCUCGUAGAAGAAACCUCAGAAUUUAUUAGAGUCGGCGAAUUCAGUCUCCGCCUCGGACUAUGACCUGAUAAAGAUGAUGGAGAUGGGACCAUAAAUUACAUACAUAGGUAUUUAUUGAAAAUUUAUUUUAAAUUACUAUAUUUAUAUCUAUGAAUUCUAAUUAUUUCAAGUGGGACUCAUAAAAGUCAUCAUUGUUAACUUCCUUUUUCUCUGGUGGGAGAUUGGUGUUCGACAAAUUUUUUCUCGGAUAACAGACUAGCGGAUCCAUUAGUGAUAGAAGAUCAUCAGCAGAAUUAGAGCAGAUAAAAAGUGGGAAAGGAAUCUACCAAGGUGAAUCUAGUCGACAAAAUUUGGCAAUAAUUCACAAGUUUGCAGGGCCAAAUCACUCUGUUGAUGUUUAAUUCACCUCAACUUUGGGAAAGGAACAGUGAAGUUCCUGGGAAAGUAGCGUGGGAUGACGAAGAGGCACGUAAGAUCCGACGUGGAAGGAGGACUUUUUGUGGUGGAAUAUGCGGAUUAAUAAUAAUAUAUAUGCAGGGUUGAAGUUGAAGGGGAGGAUUUGAGUGAAGCAUUGACAUGAAAGAGGGCUUUAAAUGGAGACCACAGAUUGGAGGAGAGCCAGAGGCACGUGAAGAGCAAUGAGAUAAAGUCUGAGGAAAGCGACUUAAUUCGCUUUUGCAGAUGGAUGUGGAUCAUGCAAGUUGGCAAGUUUUUUCUUUUCAAUUUUUGAUCAUGCAAGUUGGCAAGUUGAAGGACUUAGAUUAAACUAUGACACACGAAUUAAGAAAGUGAGAGGAACAGACGCUCCAAAGAUUCUUUUAUUCGCUCAAUUUGAGGAUUUAAAUUUGGCGAGUCAUUCGACUCCAUUCACUCA